UUCUCUUCGACCACUGCACACCCCUAUCUUCCCAUUUCAGUUUCUAAAAAAAAAUCACCAAAAUACAUCAAUGAACAAUUCCUAUCCGAGUAUUAUUCAUGCAAGAAGUGUAUCUCUCCUCACUUGAUUUGGCGUGUCCCAACACCUCUUCUCCAUUUCAUGGUUUGUAGGCAUUCAAAUCUUGAAUGAAAAGGCAAAAUCUCUCCAUUUCAAUACACAUCUUUGUCACUUUUUUUAACUCCUUUCUGUUGUAUCAUAAAAGUAUGGACAUGAACAUCUCCAUUUGACAAUGAUUAAAAAUAAAAAUAAAAAUCCCACCAAAAGGCAAAACAUUAAAAACUUAAAACUUUUCUAUGAAAACAUGCCCUGUUAGACAUUAAUUCUGGAUGAGAUUUAUUUUCCAAGAAAAUCACCUAACAUGUUCUUACAAUCACAAGAACACCACGCCUGUGUUUGAAUAUUUCUUACAAAAAAAAUUUGAAUCUCCUUUCUAUCGCACCUGAAUUUAUUUGAUGGAUGAGAGUAGAUUUGAGGCCGAUAACGUCCCUAGCCCACUGCACGUUAAAAGAUUUUGAAUAGCCAGACGAACCAUCCAUAAAUAACAUGUCCUCAUACAAGUGAUAAAAUCAAUCUGCAACUCAGUAAUGGGAAGAGGAGACUCAUCUUUAGGGACUGCAUUAUCUGGAUCUUUAAAUUCAACACAGGCUCGGAUUUGUCCAUUCUUCUUCUUUCCAGGAACAAUACUUGAAAAUGUAGGGUAUUUGACUUAAUUGGAGCAGAGGGGACUACUUCUACCUUAGUCCGAGGUCUUGAUUUCAAGUCGUGAGAAUGAAAAAAUCUUUGGUAGGAAGCAUUAUUCCAAAUGUCCCAAUCCGAAAAAGUUCAGACUAAUCAAACCAUAAUACAAAUGUCGUAUGGAAUACCUUACAAAAAUAAUAUUUAUAACGGAACAAUAAACAAAUGGAGAAUUCCCAAAACACUGAUCUUAGAAACUUUUGUUUAAUUUGUACUUUAUAGUUUACUUGAAGCUAAUGGAAGAAGAACUAAAUAUGAAUGUGAAAAGGAUAGAUUUUAACUUGAUAUCUAAUAGGAUAAGAAGGUGAAAGAUUCUUUCCAAUAUUGUGCAGUUUAACUUACUCGUUUAAGUGGAAUGUAUUGAUGUUCUUA